GGAAUACUCAAAAGGUUUAGAGUAGAGUUUGAGCUUAAUAUGACAGUGAUUUCAGACAAUGUUUAUAUCCCUAUUAUGGAUUCUCUGUUCUUACAAGUUGGGGGAAGAAUCACCUCGCAUAGAAGCAAAUCCUCUUCCGGAGACCAACCCCCUUUCUUAAAAUCAGAAUUCAAGUAUGUGUACCAUCUGAAACGCAAAUUCCCAUACGCCAUUCAUAUCAGUGAAACUCGAUGAACCCAGAAGUAAACAACAACUGUUUGAAUCAGUCGAUUACAUCAACAAUCAAUCAGAUUAACAAGGAAGAAGAAGAAGAAGAAGAAGAUAAACACAGAAUCAAUGAGAGAGAGAGAGAGUUCAUACUUCUCUGUUCCAUGUUGAUUAAUCUGCUCUCGGAGAAUAUCAUCCUCCUGAAACUCCAAGAACCCAAAUCAGAAACCACAGCCAAAAGGAUCUCUACAAGAAUCAAAAAGUAAGAAAUGGAAACCUGUUGAGUCCAGGAAACGAUGUGUCGUUCCUUCUUCUUGGAAUCUUCAGUGCUAGUGUCUGAAUCCAAACAAACAGAACCGCCAUGGAUCACGAGGACAAAGCAACGAUCAAUCACGAAUCCAAUCCAAUCAGAACUACAAAAUGAGAAGCCUGAAUCAAAACAAACACAAACACAGCCACCGUGAUUGUGAUUGUAAUCUUGUUCCUCGUAAUCCAAGAAACAGUGAUUAAGAAGAGGAACGUAGAGAUCUAUGAGUGGAAGAAAGAAAUCGGUUUCUGCAAGCUUGAAAUCAA